GCAGACGGGUGAGUAAUGUAUAGGAAUCUACCUAGUAGUACGGAAUAAUUGUUGGAAACNGCAACUAAUACCGUAUACGCCCUACGGGGGAAAAAUUUAUUGCUAUUAGAUGAGCCUAUAUUAGAUUAGUUAGNUGGUGAGGUAAAGGCUUACCAAGACAAUGAUCUAUAGCUGAUCUGAGAGGAUGAUCAGCCACACUGGAACUGA
rnacentral:rRNA from 1 species